rnacentral:lncRNA from 1 species
GGCCAGUUCCCCAGCAACUCCAUCACCCCCAGGUGAGUGAUUCCCUCCUACACCCCCAGAAACCCGACCAUGGGGAGUGGGCGUGCUGUGCUGUCUUCCCCAGGACAUGGGGACAAGCAGAAGCUUUAGCAGGCAGGAGCUGUUCCAGCUGCAGGGAUACAUCCUGCUCCUUGUCUCUCCACAUCACACCCCGCUGCCCUCACACCCUCUGUCCCACAGCUCCACAUGCCCAGAUCCUGCACGCCCUCCCCACAGGCACACUGCUGGCAGUGGCGGCUGUCAGCCUUGUCCUCGUGUCUGCAGGCAGCUGGUUUGCCAUCAGGAAAGUGCUCAAGACUCUUCUGCUGACCCCAGCCAUUUCUAUGCCAACGUGGAUGAGAUGGGCAGAGUGAAGGUGAGUUCAGCCCCAGCCCAGCCUUCCACGUUGAGCGUACACGUGAUGGUUGCGAGAGGGCAGGCUGUUGGAGAGCAAAUGCAAGCCAGAAGUGCAUCUGAUGGCAGGAGCCUGGGAGCUUCGUGUGGCUGUGCUCUGGCUGAAUCCCCCUCUUUCCAUGCUCCCAGCACUUUCCCAUGGUGGGCACUGUGAGAACAAAGCUACUCCUUGUUCCGGCUUGAGGCGAUGCAGCUGGUUCUCUGAGAGAGGCAGAGAGCACUGGGGAAAGCCCGGCCGACCUGCCAGCUGUGAAUAAAGCCAUCCCAAACAGGAAGGAGCUGGUGUAG